rnacentral:tRNA from 1 species
GUCCCUGUAGCGAGAUGGAUAGCGCGUUGGACUUCUAAUGCAAAGGUCAUGGGUUCGAAUCCCAUCUGGGAUG